rnacentral:rRNA from 1 species
UGGCGAACGGGUGAGUAACAUAUCGGAACGUACCGGGUANCGGGGGAUAACUGAUCGAAAGAUCAGCUAAUACCGCAUACGUCUUGAGAGGGAAAGCAGGGGACCUUCGGGCCUUGCGCUAUCCGAGCGGCCGAUAUCUGAUUAGCUGGUUGGCGGGGUAAAGGCCCACCAAGGCGACGAUCAGUAGCGGGUCUGAGAGGAUGAUCCGCCACACUGGGACUGAGACACGGCCCAGACUCCUACGGGAGGCAGCAGGU